GCUGCUAUGGCUCAGUCGGUAGAGCGUCGCCUUGGUAAGGCGGAGGUCACGGGUUCAAUUCCCGUUAGCAGCU
rfam:Clostridium sp. CAG:75 genomic scaffold, scf491